ensembl:miRNA
AGUUGGUGGGCUGCUGUUUGGAAGGCUCUUUAAUUCGUCCAGACAGCUGAGUUUCCAGCUCC